rnacentral:sRNA from 1 species
CUUUCCCCAAUCUGUGAAGUAGCUAAUAAUAUAGAACAGAAUGCUCAAGAGCAUGCUCUAAAGAAUGGUGACAUUUGUGAAACUUCGGGUAAACCAAAAACCACACCUAAAAGAAAACCUGCUAAGAAGAAUAAAAGCCAAAAGAAGAAUACUGCAGCUUCCUUACAACAGUGGAAAGUUGGGGACAAAUGUUCUGCCAUUUGGUCAGAAGACGGUUG